CUGUAGCUGCAAGCUGCUUUUUGAGUAUGCAUGACAUUCAGACUACCAGGAAAUUUCUUUGGCAUGCAAUAUUGUGUACAGGUUGAUCUGCCAGGGCAUCACCCCAACUAUAAACAGUUAAAGAUUUGUAUUUCUGUAAAUACAUAUUUUUAGAACAUUAUGAUCAUAUGUGAAUUUCAGGUCAAGCACCUGCUGUACAUAGAACAACAAUCCAUUACAGCUUUGACUACAGUAUGCCGAGCAGGUCUUCUACCCAUACUAGGCACAGCAAGAGUGCCCUGCUUUGAAGUGUUCUGUAAACCAUAUGGUUCACAGAUAUCUCAGUGAUAAGGGUUUAGCUGUUACGUGGCCAUUGGUGUGGUACCUCAUUUUCAACAUCAUCCAUAUAGAGAAGACUCUGCAUACCUGCACAUUGACAACUGUGUUGGGUGGAAUAAAAACAAUGCAGUCAUUGGGGUCUGAUGUAUUCUGAAGGGAGAGACACAGCAUUUACUUAAAUGGAAGCAGGUGACAUAAAGUUCAGUCCUGUGUGAGAUUUGGUCUGUGGAAG